rnacentral:rRNA from 1 species
AUUGAACGCUGGCGGCAUGCUUUACACAUGCAAGUCGAACGGCAGCACAGGGAGCUUGCCCCUGGGUGGCGAGUGGCGCACGGGUGAGUAAUGUAUCGGAACGUGCCUGGUAGGGGGGGAAAACUCCUCUAACGAGUGGCUCAUUCCGCAUGAGAUCUUUGGUUGAAAGCGGGGGACCUUCGGGCCUCGUGCUACUCGAGCGGCCGAUAUCAGAUUAGGUUGUUGGUGGGGUAAAGGCCUACCAAGCCUGCGAUCUGUAGCUGGUCUGAGAGGACGACCAGCCACACUGGGACUGAGACACGGCCCAGACUCCUACGGGAGGAAGCAGUGGGGAAUUUUGGACAAUGGGCGCAAGCCUGAUCCAGCAAUGCCGCGUGCAGGACGAAGGCCUUCGGGUUGUAAACUGCUUUUGUACAGAACGAAAAGUCUCUGGCUAAUAUCUAGAGAUCAUGACGGUACUGUAAGAAUAAGCACCGGCUAACUACGUG